GACGAACGCUGGCGGCGUGCCUAAUACAUGCAAGUCGAGCGGACGGAUGGGAGCUUGCUCCCAGCCCGUCAGCGGCGGACGGGUGAGUAACACGUGGGCAACCUGCCUGUAAGACUGGGAUAACUCCGGGAAACCGGGGCUAAUACCGGAUAACUCUUUCCCUCACAUGAGGGAAAGCUGAAAGAUGGCAUCUCGCUAUCACUUACAGAUGGGCCCGCGGCGCAUUAGCUAGUUGGUGAGGUAACGGCUCACCAAGGCGACGAUGCGUAGCCGACCUGAGAGGGUGAUCGGCCACACUGGGACUGAGACACGGCCCAGACUCCUACGGGAGGCAGCAGUAGGGAAUCUUCCGCAAUGGACGAAAGUCUGACGGAGCAACGCCGCGUGAGUGAUGAAGGUUUUCGGAUCGUAAAACUCUGUUGUCAGGGAAGAACAAGUACCGGAGUAACUGCCGGUACCUUGACGGUACCUGACCAGAAAGCCACGGCUAACUACGUG
rnacentral:rRNA from 1 species